rnacentral:rRNA from 1 species
GACGAACGCUGGCGGCGUGCUUAACACAUGCAAGUCGAGCGGUAAGGCCCUUUCGGGGGUACACGAGCGGCGAACGGGUGAGUAACACGUGGGUGACCUGCCCUCAGCUCUGGGAUAAGCCUGGGAAACCGGGUCUAAUACUGGAUAUGACUCCAUGACGCAUGUUGUGGGGUGGAAAGCCUUGUGCGGCUGAGGAUGGGCCCGCGGCCUAUCAGCUUGUUGGUGGGGUGAGGCCUACCAAGGCGACGACGGGUAGCCGGCCUGAGAGGGCGACCGGCCACACUGGGACUGAGACACGGCCCAGACUCCUACGGGAGGCAGCAGUGGGGAAUCUUGCGCAAUGGGCGAAAGCCUGACGCAGCGACGCCGCGUGAGGGAUGACGGCCUCGGUGU